UUGCUUGAUUUCAAUGUUCAUAACCUCCGAUCCCUCUUUCUCCCUUUAAUCGAGCUUCGACUUUUUCUAUGGAGCCUCAAACAAAGUACCUUAUUUAUUCGACACUCGAAGACUCUAUUGCAAGACUAAGUUAAAGGAUUAAGGAACUGUUUAGGAAGGCCAUUUCCAGAGACCAAAAUGCAAGGUUGAUAUCAGACUCAAAGAGAUGGAUAUCAAUAAUGGAAGGUGGCCAGCCGUCGGUGUCCAUGAACAAGCAAUGGGAUGCGCCAAAAGUCAUUUAGGCCGUUUUCCCUCCUUGUUUUUCAAACUUUGAAAAGAUUGCACACUUUGACAUUUGCACUAACAAUGUCAAUCAUUAAGGAGUUGGAGAGGUCUGACGAUGGGGAAAAGUACGACAAGUCCGAGUUUAAAACAUUUUAUGCAAUUAGGGAAUUAGAUAAACAGAAUAUUGAAUGAGCAGGCGACGUCCAUAAAGAUUCAUUCUGGUUGCACGGAGUAUGUUCACGUUGAUCUAGAAAAGAUAGACAAACUUGAUGUUAAAGGGUGAAUUGUUACUUCAUAAGUCAUGACUCUAACAUGUUCGGUUACCGGUUUUGAGAUGA